rnacentral:lncRNA from 1 species
GGAGUGAGACCUUGUCUAAAACAAUAACAACAACAACAACAACAACAAAAACUAAAAAUUGGAAUUGAGUUCUGGGAAACAACACAGAUAAAUCAGACAGUCUUGUUCAAUUCUGGUCAGAACAGAAAAAGUAAAUAUCUGACACGAGAUUGGUGAUGUUUCUAUGCUACAGGUAAGUUUCACUACAGAAAAACAGAAAGACAUACCUUAUUAAAUGGGACUCAAAUCUCUAAUCUGGAAAUAAAUAAUUACUUGGCCUGGGUUUAGAAAAAUUUACCCAAACUCCUACCUUCUUUCUUAUACAUAGCUGCUAUAUUUUCAGCAUAUUUUAAAAUUAUAACUUCAUUUGAAGGCCAAGAGAAUAGCAAAAUAUAUCCUUAGUAAAACACAUGAACGCUGCAGUACAAACAAAAUUCCAGAAUAAAAUAUCUUUAAUUAUAUGUUUUUGUAUGCCCAGUUACUUAUGCCCUAGAUCAUACUGUAAAGGGAGAUACUGGAAAGUGAAGCUGUUCAAAAACAACUCAGGUGAAUUAUGCUGGAGACCUAGACGUGGGGGCAGAGGUUUCUAAGCAGCCUGCUGCCUAUAUUCUUUCCCUUUGCUCCUUUCCUCAACUGUUACCUGUUGCUUUCAAGGUUCUCUUGACAUCCCAAAUGCCCUUUUAUUCUGGCUCCUUUUUUCAAAAACAGUUUUAUUGAGAUAUAAUUCCCAUAUGACAUAAUUCACAGAUUGAAAAUUGUUUGAUUUGCAUUUCCCUAAUGACUAAUGAUGUUGGGCAUCUU